CGCCACGUGAAAUCGCCUGCAGCGGGCAUCAAAUUUCAAGUCGUAACUUUCGAGUAACAGCAAAAUUUAAAGAAGGUACUAUAGUGAUUGUCUAACAGGAAUUUAUAAGCGACAAAGAAGUGUUAAUCAACGUAGCUGUGAAAGAGAUCAUAGUGCAAGGAGUUAAAUACGCCACUGUAUACGGUGUAAGAGUGCAAAGGUGGAAGUUUCGCGUUCGGCAAGUUGAACGAGGAAGACCGGGAGCACGCGUCUAUCAAUGGACAGGCCGCAAAGACAAGAAGAUCGCGGCGGGAUAGUGGAAGCGAGAGGGGGCAGCAGACGCGAAGUAAACCGCAGGCGAAAAACGGUGACACGCGGUGAUCGUAAAGCAGUAUUUACUCGCUUGUUAAGUAGCAAUAAAUAGCGAAGAAAGAG